rnacentral:lncRNA from 1 species
UUUGAAGGAAAGCAAAAACAACGGAUCUAAAAACCUCCCCCCUCCCCCUCGUUCAGAGCUUUCUUGAGAAAAACACCCAAAAUAAAAAACUCCUCCAUUCCUUUUAAAUUCACAAGAAAAUAACGGGACUCUUCACCAGAGAAGAAGAAGAAAGCUUUCCCUCCUUUCCAUCUCAUCUACUCGUCUUUCCUUGUCUGUGACAAAUCGUGGAUCUGGCCGGAAGUGACAUUAAAUUCGGCAAUCCAUGGAGGAUCUAGUCAAACUCCACGAGAUGAAACGAA